rnacentral:lncRNA from 1 species
CACCUAGACCAAUGGGGGCAAUGAAGGGGCUGCCAUGAGGUAGGGAGGUGCGAAAGCAGGGGUGUCGCAUGAAAAGGACCGGACAUAGUAGGAGGUAGUGUGUUAACUGUUUUGAACUGUCUCUGAGUUAACAAGCUGCAAGGGAAGGGACUUCUGUCUGGCUAGCUCUUCAAGACCAGUAUGGCAAUCUCAUGUUACAGUAAAGGCAGAGUUGGCUUCCUUGAUUUCAGUGGAAUGCUCCUGGUUUUUAUAACUACUGAAGCCACCACCAAAAAUUUUCACAAAGCAUUUGGAAUACAUUUUAGAGUGCUAUUGAAAACCGAAAAGGCUGAUCUUUCUUUAAGCAAAAAGAAAAAAAAGGGGGGGGGAAUCUAAGCUACAAAGUUAGCAAAUACAGUGGUACCUCGGGUUAAGUACUUAAUUCAUUCUGGAGGUCUGUACUUAACCUGAAACUGUUCUUAACCUGAAGCACCACUUUAGCUAAUGGGGCCUCCUGCUGCUCCCAUGCCGCUGGAGCACGAUUUCUGUUCUCAUCCUGAAGCAAAGUUCUUAACCUGAAGCACUAUUUCUGGGUUGGCGGAGUCUGUAACCUGAAGCAUAUGUAACCUGAAGCGUAUGUAACCCGAGGUACCACUGUAGUUUUAUGAAGAUUUCACCUUGCAUAAAAAAAAAAAAUCAAGAGUCCUUUAUUUUUACAAAAGAAUAUUGUUUGACAGUAUCAGAAGGAAAGCCCAUAGUCUCUAUUCUUUUACAGGGAUUAGCAAUUCUUGGGUCCAGGGCUCAAAGAACAUUUGAAUGACCGUGUGUAUCUGCUUACUAACACAAAUUGCUCAUUGGCUAUAUAAGUACAGUACCCUCUUCUCGUAUCAGCAUAGGAAUUGCAGUUUACCCCUCACAGAGCUACAAUUUUGCAGCACCCUUAACAGACUACAGUUCCUAGGAUUCUUUGGGCAAAGUCAUGUUUUUAAAAUAUAUGGUGCAUAUGCGGCCCAUGUCUUAAGAUCUUCUGCGGAAGCCCUACUCUAGCAGCAGUGCAUUGUUCCAUCACAAGGGAAUAAUAGGCCUGUUGUUGUUCAAAAUCUUUAUAAACAACUUGGAUGAAGGAAUUGAGGGGAUGCUCAUCAAACUUGCAUAUAACACCAAACUAGGAGGGGCAGCUAAUGCCACAGAAGACAGAUUUGGGAUUCAAAAUGACCUUGGAGAACUGGGCCCAAACCAACAAAAUGAAUUUCAAUUGGGGCAAAUGUAAGGUUCUGCACUUAGGCAGGAAGAACCAGCUGCACAAAUAUAAGAUGGGGAGACACCUGGCUUACUAGCAGUACACGUGAAAAGGAUCUGGGGUUGUAGUGGACCACAAGCUUAACAUGAGUCAACAGCGUGAUGCAGUAGCAAAAAAAGAGCUAAUGUUAUUCUAGGCUGCAUCAACAGAGGUACAGUAUAGUGUCCAGAUCAAGGGAAGUAACUCUAUUCUACUUUAGUCAGACUACACUCGGACUACCGUGUCCAAUUCUGGGCACCACAAUUUAAGAAGGAUAUUGACAAGCUGGAACGUGUGCAAAGGAGGGCAACCAAGAUGAUCAAGGGGCUGGAAACCAAGCUUUAUGAGGAGCGCUUGAAGGAGCUGGGUAUGUUUAGCCUGGAAAAGAGGAGACUGAUAUCAACACACUUGAGCUUAGUCAAAAGGCUGAGAAGUGAUUCAAAUACAGUGGUACCUUGGGUUAAGUACUUAAUUCGUUCUGGAGGUCUGUUCUUAACCUGAAACUGUUCUUAACCUGAAGCACCACUUUAGCUAAUGGGACCUCCUGCUCCCGCUGUGCCACCGCUGCACAAUUUCUGUUCUCAUCCUGAAGCAAAGUUCUUAACCCAAGGUACUAUUUCUGGGUUAGCGAAGAUGCAGCAAGCUUGUUUUCUCCUCCAGAGAAAAUGAUUCUAUGAUUCCAAGAAUUGCUAGUGAGAUGUGUUAAUAGUCUCCGUUCGUUUCAGUAGUCAAGCCCCUGAAACCAGGAAUUAAAAACUUCAUUUUAACUACAACAGUUUUGGAAGUGAGCCUAUAAUAGGUUUGGAAGACGUGUUCAAAAAUGCCUACUUCAUUUUGGCUUCUAAGGGAGGAAAGAACUAUUUCUGCCUGCAGAUAAUUCCAUGUUGUGUACAGUUAUCAACACCCCCCCACCCUUCUUGGAAUCGAUAUACCCAUUUCUUGGCCAUCUCAUUGCCAUUUUUCUCCAAUGCAAUGCUUUAACAAAUGCUUGUACAUCUGUAAUACGAUAUGCAGGGCACAUACCUGAAUGCCCUUUCACAAAGGUGUUAAAAUGGUAGGCCACAAGGAAUGUGACCAUCCAGCAUCCAUGUGCAUGUUUUUGUUACCUCUCAUACAAUGGGAGCUAUUUCAGCCUUACUUUUGGCUAAUGUCUUUUCACCGCUUAUUAUAUAAAUAAUAUAAAUAACUCGUCCUCGGACUUCAAACAUGCCAUGUCAGAUGUAUGGCAGGAGAUUACAAAGUUUGUUAAGGCUCAGGUCUUCAAUCAUCUGGGCAGCUUAGAGGCCGUUAACUAAAAUAGAGAUCAAUGCUUCAAUUUUAUGGGGGGCCUGUCCCAUGUGACCAGAAGCAAAUCUUUUAGUUUAUGGCUUGCUUAUACAUUCCUGGUGAAAAAAAACGGUUUACAUUUUGGGGCUCAGCAACUCUCCUAAAUCAGCUGCCAGGUUUUUGCAGCUGGUAGUAAAGGGAAGUGCUGUCAGCAGGCUGCCCAGAGGUGGAUAAAUGAGCCGAGAGGUGGGUUAGUGACGGCCUGAGCAGGGGCACGGAACAGCUCCCCUCGGUGCAGAGAGCUGCUACUGAGCCCAGCCGCAAGAGCUGUGCUUACAUAAAGGGGAUUGUUGUCUAGCUUACAGGGUAAUGCCAGGCUCUCCCACCCCGAGCCAUCACUCAUAGGUACCUGACAGAUCAACAGUGGCGUAGGCAGAGUCUCACUGAAGGGGGCGAUGGUGAGCUACACAGGUGUGCUGAAGGCUGCUUAUCAAUUUGACAGCAUCUUGCUUAUAUGACAGGGAUUUUAGGCAAGAUGAGCAUUUUCAGCACCAGAAGGAAAGGUCAAAGAGAUUGAAAGCCACAAACUAUGGAAUGGCCGAAGCCCUCUCUUUUCUUUCUUUCUUUCUUUCUUUCUUUCUUUCUUUCUUUCUUGGUAGCAUGUACUACUAAUGUUUCGGUGUCUGGUUUUAAGAAAUGGUUGUUCUCAACUUUAAGAUGUGUGUGUGUGUGUGUGUGUGUGUGUGUGUGUUGCUUCUAAGAAGAAGACUAUUUUCCCUUAAAAGAAUCGCAAAUUAGGGGUGACAGACUCAAAAUGCAGAAAAAUAUACCCUGCUCCAGCUCUUUUGUACACAAUUCAAGUGUAAGCAAAUUUAAACAAUUCAUUUUAUUCAUUCUUACACGUCUCUAGCCCAUGUUUCUUCCCAAGUUUGGGCUUCCAAGGUUACUAGCAACAAUGCAGUCAUUUAAUUAUUAUUAUUAUUUUAAAAAUACCAUUUAAAAAUCAUUUCAAAACCAAUUCUAAAUACACAAUAAAAAUGUAAUAAAUACACAGCAGAAACUCAUAAACUUCAUAUCCACACCAAGGAGAGAAAUAUGGUUUUCCUAAUUAAAAUGACGUUUCAAAUGUAUAAAUGCAGGUGUACUUACCUGUAUAACAAGGGCAUCUCUGUGAUGACUUCCCAUGUUGACAUGUUAGUCUUUGUGGUUUUCUUUCGUUAUUUCACUUUGUGAAAACCCAAUAAAAUAAAUAAAUAAAUACACAGCAGAAAAUUAAAAAGUUUAACACCCGCUCCCAAAAAAGUCUGCUUAAACACAAAUAUUUUUAUUUCCUUUCUAAAGGCCAGAAGGGAGCUUGCAGUGUGAAUCAUCUCGUAAGUGGGGUGUCACCAAAGAAAAGGCCCUGCUCACUGGGAAUGCUAAUCUCUCUGCAGUCAAGGAAAUAACCUGAAGAAAGGCCCACCAGAUAAUAUAAGAGCUUGAGGGGGUUUGGGUUACAAACAGUGGUCUCUAAAGUACAGUACCUGUGUUCCUAUCACUGUCAGGUUUUAAAAAUCAAUACAGAGGUACCUCGGUUCCUGAAUGCCUCCGUUGUCGUACAUUUCAGUUCUCGAACACCAAAAACCUGGAAGUAAAUGCUUCCAUUUUUGAAUGUUUUUCGGAACCUGAACAUGCAACGCAGCUUCCGCUGAGUGCAAGAAGCUCUUGCAACCAAUGGGAAGCCGCACCUCAGUUUUUGAACGAUUUGGAAGCCGAACGGGCUUCCAGAAUGGAUUACGUUCGACAACCGUGGUACCAUGUAUCCUCAAUUUAUCUUGGAAACAAAUUAGCAGCCAGCACAACUCUUUUAACAUCAGCAUAAUGGGGCACAUGUGGCUCAUUAUUUGAGGGUUGUUGUUUUUUUUUAUGUGGAGGGAAGACAAGUAAGGAGAGAUAUGAUAGAGGCAUAUAACCUUAUGCAUGGAGUAGAGAAAGGGGGCAGUGAGAACUUUCUCUCCAUCUGUUAUAACAGCAGUCCUAUACCACACCUUACCACACCUGGUGUCCUCAAGACAAUCUGGAUUGCAGUGUGGUGCUGAUAAUGCUAAGGUUAUCCCACUUGAAGUAAAGGCACUGUCUCCAAACAGCUCCCCAUCAAAUCAGCUGAAUUUGUCUCUAUAAAAGCCUAUCAUAGAAUCAAUUAUUUCCCUUACUUUCAGUGAUAAUUCAUAAUUAGACAUUAAACCAAGCAAGUGCAUCAGUUGUUUGUAAAAAUGUAGUUCCAGGGCAACCCCAACGUUAUUGCAUAAUUUCAUUUUGCAAAUUCGCUUCUGUAACAGUUUUUGCUUGCGAAUGUUUAAGGAAACACAGCACUGCAACCAAAGUCUAUAUCCUCCCUUUCUUAUCAGAGUGCUCCUGCUCAGGCUUUCAGCCAGCCACGCACUCCUCGGGAUACUCAAUCCAUUUCCCUGCCAGCCUAAUGGUUUUUCUACAUUUAAAAAAAUAUAUCUAGAUAAUACUCUCUAGCCUGUGGCUUCUGAGCAUGCUUAGUCCUUAUUGAGCUGUGGUUUGCUUUUGGUUUUCUUUACAUGGGUGGGGGUUUAAUAAAUUUAUUUCCUUUGGCAAGGCUCAGGUUUCUUUGAGUGUGCUGAUAGUUCCCUUCCUGUUUCGCAUUGGCCUCGUUUUGGCUCCAUGGCUGUUGGCCCCCUCUACCUGAAUUUGCUCUUAAAUGGGAGUGAUGAAAAAAGAUGAGUCAACAGUACGUUGUUUCUUUUAAUAAAUUAGCAGCUGAAAUCGCUGUCUUGUUAACUUAGGCAAUGGUACAGGAGAGCAAGAGUGGGCAAAGGUGCUUCUCCCUGAUAAAUAACACUAUUUGCCCUGAGAAGCAUGCAACACAAAGCACAGUGCCCCCUCCUUAUGCAAGAUAGUGCUUGUCCCACAGAACUUGCUUUUCUAAUUACCUUUUCAACUGCCUUCUCUUCUCACAUUGAUAGCAGGCACCUGCCUAAAUUACUUCCUUUCCCUUUUUAAGGUUACUUAGGUCUCAAAUUAGCUACAGUCAUACCUCGGGUUGAAGUAGCUUUGGGAUAAGUAUUUUCGGGUUGCGCGCUGCGGCGACCCGGAAGUAAUGGAGUGCGUUACUUCCGGGUUUCACCGCUCGCGCAUGCGCAGAUGGUCAAAAUGACGUCACAUGCAUGCGCGGAAGCGAUAAAUUGCGGCCCGCGGACGCGGGUUGCAUUCGCUUCUGGAUGCGAACGGGGUUCCAGAACAGAUCCCAUUCGCAUCCAGAGGUACCACUGUAUCUUCUAAAACCUAGUGGGUAAUUUCCAGAGGGGGAGCCAUGUUAACCGCCUGUUGCUUCAUAAUCAUAAUUGAGCAUUGGUUCUUUAGAGAUGAUUAUUUCUGCCCUCCUAAACUAGCAAGUGCAUUUGGGGACCAACUGGAGCCACUGAGUGUACCUUGGAGGGGGAGACAGGGGCGGGGACACCAAAUAUUUUUGCAGAUUUCCUUUGCAGCCUGGAGAGCUUGCAUGCACAUUAUUGCAAACUUUUUUUAAAAAAAAGAAACAACGAUCGUAAACUCUGGCGACUUCAAAUGGGCAAAGACUGUACUAUUUAAAAUGCAGCAUUUGUGUGGAAAAUAUAGGAAACACAUGUUUUCCCAGAUGGUCUCCUUAGCAUUUGCACCAAUAGAGACUGAGAUGUUUAUUGGCUCAUAGAAUGGCAGAAUUCUCUUCAGGCUAUUGUUAUAAAAGUAGACUUCCAGCUGCUCAGAUUGACAACUUAUGUAGAACACCAUCUUCUGAUGGCCUAGGUAGAAAGGUACACCUGAUUCGACCCCAGUUUUAUACAGUACUGCUAAACUGAUGAGUGACUAGCCCUUUCCAGCUGUUCUCCACCGCAAUAUAUUACAGUUGGGGUGGGGCUGUGAUCACCGGCCUUGCCAGGCCCAUUGCCCCACCCAGCAUGAAUGCAUAACAAGGGGGAGAUAUGAAAAGGGGAGUCUCUGCUCUGCACAUGUAGGCUGCCUGCACGAUCUGGAAUCCUGAUGGUGUAGUUUUCAAUCCUGCAGGGAAUUUUAGGCUGUGCACACAUCAUCAGCUUAAAAGGCAGCUUAAAAGGCCACCUUUUCUCAAUUUGGAUCCAAGUUGGUUAGACAAAAAGCAUCAAAAUGUAGCCUUUCAUCAGGAGAAACAGGACUGAUACAGGAUAAACAUGGAUCACUUGUACACUGCUGCCCAAAGCGGCAGUGGAUGCAGAUGAAAUAGGAGCAGUAUCCCUCUUCAGAUCUCCUCCCCAAGGCAUGGAUUUGGGAUGGAGGGGAGAAAGAGCACAGGGACACAGUGAAGGAAGUGGGACUAGCAACCAUAGAUCUCCUCUCCUCUUUUGUGGUUGGGAGAAAUGGUGAGCUAUCUGGAUGCACACAUUCAAUAAACAUACAUAGGCAUCAUUCUCCGUUAUACCCCGUAUCUACUGACCUACCCUGAAACGCACGUAUUCUGAGUACCCAUCUAUUUUACAAGAUUACGUUGGUUUUAUAUCCGUUUCAUGGAUCUACCGGUAAUCUUGAGAACGGCAGUUCAGGGGCUGGUGCAACACUGGUGCUUCCUGCAGUAAUCUUAUGCGGAUCUGUCCAGAGGAAGACUUGUGUCUUUCUUGAAUUCUUUCCUUCUCAUUUGUUCUUCCUCUGCCACCUACCCUACAUUUGGUUCCACGCGGUGAUGCAUCCUACCUGCAUGCAGACAUGCUAUUAUUUAGAACAGGAACCAAUCCACCAAUGCUUUGCCUCCACACCCUUUGAAAUGCUAUGUUUGGAGUGGUUCCAUUCUCCGUGCUUACUUGUCAGAAAUGGCUUUCAUGACUAUCAAAUUCACGCAAUUGCAAGUAAUCCAGAGCCCUUUGGUAAUUAGACACCUUUUUCCCCCAAAGUGCACAAUGCACUCCACAUACAUUAUCCCCACAAACCUUACAAUAAGGUAUACUGAUAUUAUUACUACCUUAGUGGGGGGUUGAAGUUGAUCCUGAGAACCGUUUUGUCUAAAAUAAUCCAAUGAAUUUAACCACUGUGCUAUGCAACAGCUCUCUGGAAUAUAUAUUUCCUGCAAGCACGAAUUCUACAUCCUUUUAUAUAUAGAUAUAAAAAAUAUUAACUACAGAUGAAAAUAUCUACAUUCACUACAUUUCUUGUACUUGCACACACACACACACACACACAGAGAGAGAGAGAGAGAGACAGAGACAGAGACAGAGACAGAGACAGAGACAGAGAGACUGCAUCUUUUAAGAUUGAUCUUCCAAACUCAUUUGGUUUCCCACCUUUCCUAACUGGAAGUGAAACCUGGAGAGUGAGAGACAGCAGGACCUUAGUUCCCGUGCGGUAUUUAGCAACGACCCAGGAUAGCUGCAGUUUGGAAAGUGCAGUGAGUGACCAAUCCUUUUUUCUAAUCCAACCACUUUGGAAAAAUUGUUUGUUCUCAUCCUGUUUGAAGCAGCUUCAAAGUGGCUCCAGUCUAGACUGCGCCAAGAUAAAUUACAAACUUAAGGGGCUGAUAUAAACCACAGAGGAGAAUGGACUGUUUGCAUGAAUGUAAUUAUAACAAAUAUUUUUAUUUAUAUGCACAGAUGUGUAUUUACACUCUGAAUCCUCAGUACAAAGGAAGGAGAGGGGACUGACAAGAAGCUUGUGUGUCAAUAUAUAUAUAGGAGAUAUCUCCAAGACCAGUUUUUGGAGUGGUCUGAAAAGCACUAUCCCUUUAAGAAGGCAAGGGGGGGGGCAUCUGAAGCUCCUGCCUUAACUAGAACUUUAGCAGGCAAUCCCACACAUAGCAGGUGAACAAAACUGAAUGGCAGUCUGGAGAAAAAUAGGUAGGUGGUGUGCCGAAGAAGUGUGAUCAGAAGUCUUGAGGAUUUCUGUAAAAUAAAAUAAACAUAGAUGGUAUUUAUUUCUCCUAUCAAAAUUCAUGCACUUAUUCUGCCUCUCAAAAAACCCAAGUAGUAGUAAUAGUAGUAAUAAUAAUAACAACAACAGUAAUAAUAAUUUCUUAUACCCUGCCCAUCUGACUGGAUUGUCCUAGCCACUCUGGGCGACUUCCAAGAAAAAUACAGAGAGGGGGGUGGGAAAACAAAAAUUAAAAGCUUCCCAAAACAGUUGUGUAACUCUUUGACAUCUGCUGAGAGGGUGUUCCACAGAGUGGGUACGACUAUUGAGAAGGCCCUCUGCCUGGUUCCCUGUAAUUUCACAUCUUGCAGUGUCGGAACUGCCAGAAGGCCCUCAGAGCUGGACCAUCAGUGAACAAUGGGAGUGGAGGCGCUUCUUCAGGGCUGCAUCAUUUUUAGGUAUUUAAAAUAGAAUUAAAAUAGCAACAAUUCUCCAUCAUCUGAACAGAACUGCACUUGAUGUUGGCAUGUUUAUCACACACAAGCCUGGGACAAAAAUGGAUGUAAAAAGGUAAAGGGACCCCUGACCAUUAGGUCCAGUCGUGGCCGACUCGAUGGGGUUGCGGCGCUCAUCUCACUUUACUGGCCAAGGGAGCCGGCGUACAGCUUCUGGGUCAUGUGGCUAGCAUGACUAAGCCGCUUCUGGCGAACCAGAGCAGCUCAAAUGUUGUUUAGGUUAUUUGUAAGGGCAGGGAAUAAGCCACCUUGGAAGGUGUGAUGGAAUUUGCAGGGAAGAAUGGUUGAGGUUCCAGCUCAUCAGUUCUUCCCUGCAAAUGUUCCCUGCAUUAAUCUUAUAAUGCAAACACUAGGUUAGGAUCCUGAUAUUUGCUCUGCACCACAUAGCUGUGCCUUCAGGCAGCAUUCUUGCUCAGCUGUGUUAUCUUCAAGGUGACUCUGAGGGGGGGGGGGGAUAAAACAUGGUGGUUGGUGUUGUGGUUUUUAAGUACUGUAUGGGUAUGAAACAGGAAAUGUUCGUUGUGAUUAGGUCCAGGAAUUGUUGUUGUUGUUAAUUUAAAUUGAUUAGUCAUCUUUUUAAAAAACAAAUAAUAACUCAAAGUGACUUACAACAAUAAAUAACACAUACAUUUAAACCAGCAUAAAACUAAAACAGAAUAAAAUCUAAAACCCAUUCAUAUUUUUAAAAGACAGGACUAAAACAUCCCAACCACUGUUGGAGGCCACAAUGACCGCUCCCCACAUUAAAUGGGGGGGCGCCCUUUGCGUGGUCGUGCGCAGCCCCCUGGACCCUAUGUGGCACCAUUAGCACAGGCUCGGCUUCACCCCCCCCAGGUGGGAUACCUGGAGGUCUCCGCCUACCUCAGCAAGUUGCCCAAUCCCGCCUGGGGAGGCGUUGCCAAGGUGAUCAGACCAGGUAGGGGGAGGGACUACUUGCCCACACAAUAGGGGGAGGAUCUUACCUGGGAAUCGUCAGUUGGCUCCAGAGCUUCUCCCACCCUACCCACCCUCAGUUAAGACUUCUUUUGCAGAUUAACUGUUUCUCCACAGGUACACAGGCGCUGCUACAUCAAGGUCACUGUUGAAGGGCUGGAAAGAAAUUCUCCUGCAUUGGCAGGUUUGCCUUUCCCGUAGCAAAACGUCACAACUUUGGCGGUAUCAGGCCUUGGGCGGAUUCCUUUAGUCUAAAUGGGGGGGGCGUGCAGCGGUGGUCCAUGCUCCCCUCCUCUUCGCGGCGGCGAUACCAGGGUUACCCAUUAAAGGGGUUGUUUGAGGGAAGGCGUUGGCCGUAAGCGUAGAGGUGAUCAUUGCUCUCCCCUGUGGCGGCGUAAUGGGGGUGGACUGUCUCUGCUUGAACAUAUGUUCUCCAGAGCCAGUCCAUCCCCCACUCACACUGGAUAACCCUGAUGUUCCCCAGAUCCCCAAGGGGGGACUGGGGGGGGGGAUAAAUGCCCAAUGCCUGAGCCAAGGUCUACCCACAUCUGAAACAUAAUAAAGUUGUGGCCAAUUUUAAUCCCAUAGCACGUUGUCUUGAGUCGUUAUUCCACACAGGGGCCGCCCAGGGUUUGGGGGCUCCGCCUGUCCACGCGAAUAAUUAAAAGCCAAAGGCCUGGUGGAAAAGAAAUGUUUUUGCCUGGCACCUAACCAAUGGUAUAUGAGCCAUUCCAUUAUUUUCUUUUGCUGCAUUGUGCCUUUAGUUUACCAUACAACCCAUUAUAUAAACCUGUAGUUUACGUACAUGAAGCAUUUGUGCUCACAUACACACACUUUGGAAAAUGCCCCAAAGGUCAAGCUAUAUCAGUAACAAUAUUUUUGUGCUGGUCUUGAAGUUUGGAGGGGUUUGGGCUGCUGAACAUCACAUCUCUGGAGACUGACAACACAAAACUGUACAGUGGUACCUCGGGUUAAGAACUUAAUUCGUUCUGGAGGUCCAUUCUUAACCUGAAACUGUUGUUAACCUGAGGUACCACUUUAGCUAAUGAGGCCUCCCGCUGCCGCCGUGCGGUUUUUGUUCUCAUCUUGAAGCAAAGUUCUUAACCUGAGGUACUAUUUCUGGGUUAGCAGAGUCUGUAGCCUGAAGCGUCUGUAACCUGAGGUACCACUGUAUUAGUGGACACGGAACAUUUUUCAGUGUUUAACAUUUGAGAGCCACAGCAGUGUAGUAGGUGAAGCUCUUUUGUUUUGGGCCAGUCACCAGCUCAUAGCCUAACCUACCUCACAGGGUUGUUGUGAUGAUAAUAAUAUGGAGAGUGGGAGACCCAUCUACCUUUGAAGGGAAGGUGGGAUCUUCAUGUAAUAAAAAUAUUAUUUUGUACCUAGUCACUAAGCGUUGCAAGAAUACGGCACACAAGACAAGAUCUCUCUUUUUGAAAUCGAGUGUCUUUUGAGAACCUCAGUCUCGUGACAUGUGAAAUCAGAUUGCCAGCUGUCUGAGCUCCCUGUGAGAUAUGUAUGAAGUACGUGUUACGAAGCCAUCGCCUUCAAACUGUUUCGGAAUUUCACUCCUUCCUACCUGUAGCCAUCUCUCCCAGCGUCCUCCUAUCAAACUAUUGAUACAGCCUCAUUCCUAAGCCAUAUAAAUUUAAAGCCCAAUAGGCUUUGAAGUUUCAAAUGAGGACAGUUGUUUUUGUUUGUGGUGUGGCUUAUCGCCCUGGUGCGCCCCUCCUUGUCUCCACGAGGGCUCCCUUCUCAACUGAGCCUACUUUCUCUGUCCUAGCAGGCCUUGCUGCCAGGGACCGUAGCCCUGCCAGAGUACGCUGAUAAGGAUGAUGGAUGAGGAGGAGGCUGGCUCCACUAUGGCCCAAUGGCUUCCUGGGAGUUUGAGACAGUCUCUCUGUUCCAAAGCCCAUCGGAAUGCUUGUUUAGAAGUUGGCGAGCAGCAAGGAGGAGGGGAAGGUGGGGGGGGGGGAUAAGAAGAUGCAUCUCUCUCCCUCUAUAGAUGAAACCCAGAUGGAGCCUCGGCCCAUCUUUGAUUGGGGAUUUCAGCACCCUUCGACUGCAGAGAUUUGCUCAAAGGUUGACAAGGUGCCCUUUCAGCAUGGUGACCCAGUCUCUGCUCACACAACUCUUGGCAAGUGGCAGUGCCUCCGUCUUGGCUGUUUCGCUGCAUAUGACAUAGUUAAACACGCAAGCACACGGUGUGGUGGUGCACGUCGGUGCUGCUUUAUAUCUUAUGUCAUUUGUGUCCGAUGUCUUUUCUGUUGGCUGACCUGGAAAUCACUCUGAUUUUUUAAAGAGAUAGACAGAUGCACACAUAUGUACACACAUUUUUUAAUAUAGUAUAGACAUCAUAAAUGACUAUAUUUGGGGACUGAAGCAAUGGGGCCUUGUGAUUGUAGAGAAGCAGAACAGAAGUUGUGUGGGAUGUUUUUAAUGUAUUGUGUGUGUUUUCCCUUCUUGGUUUUAAUGUAUCUAUGUGGGAUUCUACUGUUUUUGUUAGCUUGUAAGUCGCUUUGGGUUGUCUUUGGCAAGAUAAAGCGACUAACAGAUUAAUAAUAAUAAUAAUAAUAAUAAUAUCCCCAACAAAGUAAAGCAUUUUAAAAAUCCAUUUGAUUCCAGCAAAGAGAUUUAUGCACAUGUCGAUUUGUGCUGCUUCCAGUAUUUUGAUCAGGACUAUUUACUUUUAUUGAAGCACCAGUUAUAGACCAUUUCAUGUCAUGUAUGUUUCAGCUAUAAUGAUACAGUGUACAAUGAAGGGGCCAACCAAAUUACCAGGCAAUAUAUAAUUAUUUUAUUUUUUACUAUAUGUUUGCCACCAAGUAAGCGUGGGGAUUGUCAUUUGGAUUUGCUGUCCUAGGCACCAAAAUAUUUUAGACCACCCCUGUGGUUCAGGGUUGGAGAAGCUACGACCCUUCAUCAUCCCUAACCAUUGGUCAUGCUGGCUGGAGCUGAGGAGUUGGGAGUCCAGCAAUGUCUACAGGGGGUCGGAUCCUCCAGUUCUGCUGUAGCUGCUUAAGGGAAACAAGGAGUCUUGCUAUUAACCCUCUCAGUCUCCUCCUAGUUUUAUCAGUUUGUGUUUCUUUAAUCACAGGUUAAUCAGAAACAUCGAAAUCCAGCUGACUAAAUAAACACAUCAUAUCUUUAUUUCCAAAGCUGAAAAGAUAAGUGAUAGAAUAAAAUAAAAGUAAAAAAGCUUUUAUUAUUUUAUUUGCAUGUAUUUUUUAAAGAGGCAUACAUUUAUCACAAUCCACGGCCUGCCGUCUUUUAUGCCUAUGUUUGGGAUGGGGGGAGAGGGUGGGAUAAGACGCCAAAGUCCCAGGAGUAGAAUCACAGUUCUUGCCUCUGAAAUCUCUGGAAAUCUCUAAAUGCCUCUAGCUCCGCUCCUGCUUCUUGCAGUGGAAUGAGGAAGGGCAGGGACUUUCAUCAGCUGUUCCCUGUGACAUGCUGCAAAACCCUGUGUUCCUGACAGGUAAGAGGUGUGUUGCCUGAAGUGAUGACGUGUUUGCCCUGCGGUAGCUAUCAUUUUCCCUGAUAGCUGAAGAGAGUGCAAGGCUAUGUGUGGAUAGCCUCGCAGGAGCAGGAAAGACCCUUAACCUGUCAUGUACUGGAUUCAGAGGAGCUUAAUUGGCUGGCAAGUAGCUUAAACUAAGUACGGUAUUUUGAGCUAAGCAGAAUUAGCCACACACAGGCUGACUUUCUUAAAAUUGCACCCAUAUGUGCUCUCACUGCCUCUGCGUGCCAAAAGGAACCACACUAUCGGUGAGUUCAGCAGGUAACCGGGCUGCAGGCUCAUAUCCUCCAACAUUUCUCUGGUAAUUUUACUAUUUAUACCUCACACAUCUUUCUGGGUUGCCCCAGCCUCUCUGGGCAGCUUCCAACAUAUAUAAAAACACAACAAAACAUGAAACAUUAAAAAAACAUUUCCCUAUACAGGAUUGCCUUCAGACGACUCGGGGGUCAGAUAACUCCAUACCCUCCAGUGAAAAUAGGGACAUCGUACCAUACCCUCCAACAUUUCUCCAAUGAAAAUAGGGAUGUCCUAUAGAAAAGUGGGACAUUCCAGGAUCAAAUCAGAAACUGGGACGGCUUCUCUAAUUCAGGGACGUCCAUGGAAAAUAGGGACGCUUGGAGGGUCUGCAGGCUCCAACCCUAAACCCACAAAACUAGGACUAAGGUCUACUGAAGUCAGCAGGGCUUACUUCUGAGUAUGUGUAUAAUUGCCUUGGUAGUGCUAGUGACUCCUUGUCUCUUCUGCCUUCUAGUUUACACAUUCCCUCCCCCUCCCUCGCUUUCUGCUUGCUUCUGCUAAGGCAGCAUUUCUCAGAUAUUUUGAACAUUUGCCUCCACUUCUAAAUUUAAGUUGCAGUUAGAUGCAAUGGCAGGAGAUCUGUAGCUGGAGCUCCUUCAGUUAUUUAAAAUAGCAAAUGUGGCCAAGUGGACUCCCAAUUUAAAUUAAGACUGCAGCACUGGGGGGGGGGGGCGGGGGUUAACUUUCUUCUUCCGUUCUGUUUUCCUAUUUUUAAAGCACAUCACCUGGGGCUGGGGAAAGAAUCGUAGGAAUUGUAGUUUGUUAAGGGUGCUGGGAAUUGUAGCUCUCUGAGGGGUCAAUGACAGUUCCCAGGAUACUUUUUCUUUUUGCAGGGGAUGUGCUUUAAAUGUUUGGUGUGUACAGUGGUACCUCAGGUUACAGACGCUUCAGGUUACAGACUCUGCUAACCCAGAAAUAGUACCUCGGGUUAAGAACUUUGCUUCAGGAUGAGAACAGAAAUCGCGCGGCGGCGGCGGCGGCAGCAGGAGGCCCCAUUAGCUAAAGUGGUACCUCAGGUUAAGAACAGUUUCAGGUUAAGAACGGACCUCCAGAACGAAUUAAGUUCUUAACCCGAGGUAAUACUGUACACAGUCUCACUCGUUUGUGAUAUCUACGUUGGCUGUGAAACUUCUAUCUCUCACUCUAGUUUUCUCUCCUUUCUGUUCUGCAGUUCUUUUUUUGCCAGCAUACAGAGCCAAGAACUGAAUUUGUCCUGUUUCCAAGUACGUGAGGCCAGACUUCAGCUUUUUGAUGGAAGGCACAGCACACUACUAUGAAGGGAUUGAGCCCAGAGUUUAUAGCUCUCUUCAGCAACAUUUGCCCAUUUCCCAAAAAGCUUCAAUAACUUUUUUUUUUUUUUUGCGCUAGUGCCACCAUAUAACAAAUGUUAAUUGGAGAGUCUCACUCAGACUAUGAGAAACUUGGAUGGGUUUCUACUGGGUUUUAAAUGUUUCUUUUUUGGAAAAAAAGGGGAGAGAAGUUAUGCCUGUAAUGAAAUAAGUAUCUUGGCUCUCAGGGAUGGGAU